rnacentral:rRNA from 10 species
UUAAGCGACUAAGCGUACACGGUGGAUGCCCUGGCAGUCAGAGGCGAUGAAGGACGUGCUAAUCUGCGAUAAGCGUCGGUGAGGUGAUAUGAACCGUUAUAACCGGCGAUUUCCGAAUGGGGAAACCCAGUGUGUUUCGACACACUAUCAUUAACUGAAUCCAUAGGUUAAUGAGGCGAACCGGGGGAACUGAAACAUCUAAGUACCCCGAGGAAAAGAAAUCAACCGAGAUUCCCCCAGUAGCGGCGAGCGAACGGGGAGGAGCCCAGAGCCUGAAUCAGUGUGUGUGUUAGUGGAAGCGUCUGGAAAGGCGUGCGAUACAGGGUGACAGCCUCGUACACAAAAAUGCACAUAUUGUGAGCUCGAUGAGUAGGGCGGGACACGUGGUAUCCUGUCUGAAUAUGGGGGGACCAUCCUCCAAGGCUAAAUACUCCUGACUGACCGAUAGUGAACCAGUACCGUGAGGGAAAGGCGAAAAGAACCCCGGCGAGGGGAGUGAAAAAGAACCUGAAACCGUGUACGUACAAGCAGUGGGAGCCUCUUAAUGGGGUGACUGCGUACCUUUUGUAUAAUGGGUCAGCGACUUAUAUUCUGUAGCAAGGUUAACCGAAUAGGGGAGCCGAAGGGAAACCGAGUCUUAACUGGGCGUUAAGUUGCAGGGUAUAGACCCGAAACCCGGUGAUCUAGCCAUGGGCAGGUUGAAGGUUGGGUAACACUAACUGGAGGACCGAACCGACUAAUGUUGAAAAAUUAGCGGAUGACUUGUGGCUGGGGGUGAAAGGCCAAUCAAACCGGGAGAUAGCUGGUUCUCCCCGAAAGCUAUUUAGGUAGCGCCUCGUGAAUUCAUCUCCGGGGGUAGAGCACUGUUUCGGCAAGGGGGUCAUCCCGACUUACCAACCCGAUGCAAACUGCGAAUACCGGAGAAUGUUAUCACGGGAGACACACGGCGGGUGCUAACGUCCGUCGUGAAGAGGGAAACAACCCAGACCGCCAGCUAAGGUCCCAAAGUCAUGGUUAAGUGGGAAACGAUGUGGGAAGGCCCAGACAGCCAGGAUGUUGGCUUAGAAGCAGCCAUCAUUUAAAGAAAGCGUAAUAGCUCACUGGUCGAGUCGGCCUGCGCGGAAGAUGUAACGGGGCUAAACCAUGCACCGAAGCUGCGGCAGCGACACUAUGUGUUGUUGGGUAGGGGAGCGUUCUGUAAGCCUGUGAAGGUGGCCUGUGAGGGUUGCUGGAGGUAUCAGAAGUGCGAAUGCUGACAUAAGUAACGAUAAAGCGGGUGAAAAGCCCGCUCGCCGGAAGACCAAGGGUUCCUGUCCAACGUUAAUCGGGGCAGGGUGAGUCGACCCCUAAGGCGAGGCCGAAAGGCGUAGUCGAUGGGAAACAGGUUAAUAUUCCUGUACUUGGUGUUACUGCGAAGGGGGGACGGAGAAGGCUAUGUUGGCCGGGCGACGGUUGUCCCGGUUUAAGCGUGUAGGCUGGUUUUCCAGGCAAAUCCGGAAAACCAAGGCUGAGGCGUGAUGACGAGGCACUACGGUGCUGAAGCGACAAAUGCCCUGCUUCCAGGAAAAGCCUCUAAGCAUCAGGUAACAUCAAAUCGUACCCAAAACCGACACAGGUGGUCAGGUAGAGAAUACCAAGGCGCUUGAGAGAACUCGGGUGAAGGAACUAGGCAAAAUGGUGCCGUAACUUCGGGAGAAGGCACGCUGAUAUGUAGGUGAAGCGACUCGCUCGUGGAGCUGAAAUCAGUCGAAGAUACCAGCUGGCUGCAACUGUUUAUUAAAAACACAGCACUGUGCAAACACGAAAGUGGACGUAUACGGUGUGACGCCUGCCCGGUGCCGGAAGGUUAAUUGAUGGGGUUAGCGGUAACGCGAAGCUCUUGAUCGAAGCCCCGGUAAACGGCGGCCGUAACUAUAACGGUCCUAAGGUAGCGAAAUUCCUUGUCGGGUAAGUUCCGACCUGCACGAAUGGCGUAAUGAUGGCCAGGCUGUCUCCACCCGAGACUCAGUGAAAUUGAACUCGCUGUGAAGAUGCAGUGUACCCGCGGCAAGACGGAAAGACCCCGUGAACCUUUACUAUAGCUUGACACUGAACAUUGAGCCUUGAUGUGUAGGAUAGGUGGGAGGCUUUGAAGUGUGGACGCCAGUCUGCAUGGAGCCGACCUUGAAAUACCACCCUUUAAUGUUUGAUGUUCUAACGUUGGCCCGUAAUCCGGGUUGCGGACAGUGUCUGGUGGGUAGUUUGACUGGGGCGGUCUCCUCCUAAAGAGUAACGGAGGAGCACGAAGGUUGGCUAAUCCUGGUCGGACAUCAGGAGGUUAGUGCAAUGGCAUAAGCCAGCUUGACUGCGAGCGUGACGGCGCGAGCAGGUGCGAAAGCAGGUCAUAGUGAUCCGGUGGUUCUGAAUGGAAGGGCCAUCGCUCAACGGAUAAAAGGUACUCCGGGGAUAACAGGCUGAUACCGCCCAAGAGUUCAUAUCGACGGCGGUGUUUGGCACCUCGAUGUCGGCUCAUCACAUCCUGGGGCUGAAGUAGGUCCCAAGGGUAUGGCUGUUCGCCAUUUAAAGUGGUACGCGAGCUGGGUUUAGAACGUCGUGAGACAGUUCGGUCCCUAUCUGCCGUGGGCGCUGGAGAACUGAGGGGGGCUGCUCCUAGUACGAGAGGACCGGAGUGGACGCAUCACUGGUGUUCGGGUUGUCAUGCCAAUGGCACUGCCCGGUAGCUAAAUGCGGAAGAGAUAAGUGCUGAAAGCAUCUAAGCACGAAACUUGCCCCGAGAUGAGUUCUCCCUGACUCCUUGAGGGUCCUGAAGGAACGUUGAAGACGACGACGUUGAUAGGCCGGGUGUGUAAGCGCAGCGAUGCGUUGAGCUAACCGGUACUAAUGAACCGUGAGGCUUAACCUU